GACGAACGCUGGCGGCGUGCCUAAUACAUGCAAGUAGAACGCUGAAGAGAGGAGCUUGCUCUUCUUGGAUGAGUUGCGAACGGGUGAGUAACGCGUAGGUAACCUGCCUGGUAGCGGGGGAUAACUAUUGGAAACGAUAGCUAAUUCCGCAUGAUAUUAAUUGUCGCAUGAUAAUUAAUUGAAAGAUGCAAUUGCAUCACUACCAGAUGGACCUGCGUUGUAUUAGCUAGUUGGUGAGGUAACGGCUCACCAAGGCGACGAUACAUAGCCGACCUGAGAGGGUGAUCGGCCACACUGGGACUGAGACACGGCCCAGACUCCUACGGGAGGCAGCAGUAGGGAAUCUUCGGCAAUGGGGGGAACCCUGACCGAGCAACGCCGCGUGAGUGAAGAAGGUUUUCGGAUCGUAAAGCUCUGUUGUAAGAGAAGA
rnacentral:rRNA from 1 species